ensembl:lncRNA
AGGAAAUGAGAUUUCGCCCUGCGUGUCACCUAGUGAGUUAACCUGUCAUAGCCUCUCAGAUGCUGAAGGAAACAAGAGGCUCCAGAUUCAGACAUAAGGGAUAGUUUAGGACUCACAGCAGCAGCCAGAGUGGCUGCAUUUUUCAUGUGCUCCCAGGCUUAUGUUCUCACAGACCCUCACAAAGAGGACUAGAAAUGACCAGGGUGCACAUCGGGGUGUGUCCAGGAGAGGCAUCUGCGGUUUGGUUUCCAACAGGUUGAGUGUGUCUGCCUUCCGUUCCAGAGGGACAUUAUGUCUACCUCCCAAGCCCAUCUGUGACAGACUUGAAAAUAUAAUCCAGAACAAAGAGACUCCACACGUCACUCACAAGCCACGCUGAUAUGAGGCAGCUCUGUCUUAGUCUGUUCGAGUUGCCAAAACCAAGUGCCAUAGACUGGGGGCCUCAACAGCAGAUCAAGGUGCCAAGCGAUGAACUCAGCAAGGGCUUCCUUCCUGGCUUGCCUAUGGCCACCUUCUCACAUGGAGGAGAAGACAAGGGAGAGACAGACAGACAGACCUCUUAUAAACCACCAGUACUCUCAGAUUAGGGCCUCACCCUUAUGAUGUCACCUCCUGACGGCCGUACUUCUAAACCCCCAAACUCUGGCACAUUGAGGGUGAGCGCUGCAAGAGAUGAAUUCCGAGGGACACAGCCUAAUCCACAGCUGGUCCCAUGGGGACUUGGGAUCCACCAGGGACCACCCAAGGUGACCAAGAGCGCCUCUCACAGGCUCGCUGCCAUGGCCAAGGUUAACCAUCUCUCCUCUGAAAAUCUGAAGUCUGAAGUGCUCCAGAAUUGGAGGCUUUUUGAGCACUGACCUGAUGGCAUAGGUGGAAAAUUUCACACCUGAUCUCCUGUAACAGGUCACAGUCAAAACACAGGUACGCAAAAAAAUAUUCCUUCAAGUUCCCUG